GCGGCUGCCAGCCACCUGGAUUGUUGUUUGUUGGUGGCCGCCUGUUGUUUGUGUUUCCUUCAGUCAGAUCCUGCCAGGGGUUUGUAGGGCAUUCUCGUCUGGAGUGUCCUGAUUGGUGGCAACCCCAACAGACACCAGGUGGCCCCCUAGGGUUCCUGGGUCCCUUUCUCUGAUCUGCCUGUGUAUUUUUCUGUUGUUUAUUUCCACCAUUCCAAUUAGGGGGCUGUGUGUAUACAUUUACUACUAGCAGUACGGUAGGCAUUUGGGCCCGCCUGGGGGUUGACGGUUGCGGCCCUCCUGGGGAAACGGCAGACAUUGUUCCUACCUCGGGCACAGGGGUGGUUACUGAGGCAUGGACUUUCUUCUUUCCUUUGUUGGUUAAUUCAUCCAGCUGCAACUGGGCCAGCUUUCUCUGAAUGUCUUUUCCUUGUUCAAUCUGUCUCUGUUCGUCCUUCCUGUGUUUUUCCACGGCAUGAAUCACAUAGUCACAGAACUCUUUGUAAGGUUUUGAAGUAAGCCCCACCACAUCCUCCAGUCUGUUCCUUACCGGCUCGGGCAUGGCUUCCAUCACAGAAGUUCGGAACAUUGCUGUCAUUAGUUCAUUUCCUUCUGGAUCUUGUUCUGUUUCCAUUCUCCAUCUUUCCAAAUGUCCAUGUAAGUACGUGGCCGGGUUUUCUGUAGCUCCAAUAGCUUCACCUCUCAGAGCUUUGAGGUCAAACUUCGUUGGGUAUGCUGCCCUUAAUGCACGCCAGACGGCAGGUCUAUACCUGUCGAACAUCAGUCCAUCCUUCGUCACCUCCCAAUCUGUGCCGUUGAUCGCACCAUCCUGCAUGAUUUCUCUCAGUUUCUGCACGCUCGUCACCCUCCCUAGCAAUGCCUUUAUGUCACCCACCACCACCAAUUUCCCCAUCGUGUAUUCUUCAAAGGUUCUGAUCCACUUCCCUGCUCCCUCAUGGAGAUCUGGCAAGCGGAAAACCAACCCCUCCAUGUCCUGUGCAGCCCAUGGUAUAUAGUGUCCUUGCUCUCCUUUUAUCAGGAUCUGCCACUGUUUUUCAUAAUAACCAGAUUCUUUCCUAGACCCAUUCCUACGAGCCCUGCAAUAUUUCCCUGCAGGCUCAUUUCUCAGGCUCUCAUUCAUACUACGGGCCAAGGCCUCAUCCUGUCUUUCUUGCCUUCUUAUGUUUUCUUCGUGUGUUGAUUUUGACCGUCCCAGUUUCUCUUCUAUUCUUUGUCCUUCUCUCUCUAUUUGUCCCCUACAGGAUGUAUCAUUCUCUUCCUCUUCCUCUUCCUCUUCCGCCUCGCUCGGACUAUUACCUGAUGCCCAUUCUGCUAGUGUGUUUUGGCUUUUCCUGGAGUUGCCCUCCGUUUGGUCUUUUGUUAUUUUUGUUUGCAGCUCUGACGUCUCCCUUUCUCCUAUUUCCGUUUCCAUUGCUGUUAGGGCUUUCCUCAGGCCACUAUAGCAAUCGAAACCUUCUUCUUUUUGUUCCUAUAUGCUUCAUAGUUCUUUUCUUGCCUUGUUCUGUUGAAUGUGAAGGUGCACACGUUGCUCUAGGUGUGGUGAUCCCUUCCUUUUCUUCCGUCACUUCCACUUCCCCUUUUAUUUCCACGUGUCCAGUUAUCAUGGGAAACUGUCCAUCGGAAUACGGCGGGGGGCUGGUCCCCCACUCCGUUUUCUCUUUGCUUGUGUUAUCGUUCUUCUUUAGUACUUCUCUUGCUGUCUUCAUGCUUUGUAACAAACCCACUCUUUCUUCCUUAAACAUUUUUAGUAUUUCGUUUUCUCUUUCUCGUUUAUUUUUCCUUUUUUGUUUCUUGUCCUUGGGUUUAUAGUUCUUUAUCAGCGUUUCCAUUUCCUCACACACAGUGACAUCCAACGUUCCCACUGCGGGCCAUUUGGUGUUUAAUUUUCUGGUGCGUUUUUCCCAUUUUAUAGACGUUUUUAUUAUUUCUUUUUUACUUAGGGGGUAUCUAGUCCCCAAAAUCUCUACCGGUGUCCUAUUCAUUUUAAUGAUGGUCUAUAGUUUAGCCUUAACUUGUUAAAUCCUCCUUGAUAUUUUUUUUCCUUUUGUUUUUAAUUCUUUGUAAUGUCUAUCCUUCUCAUUUAUAUUUAUUCACUCACUUUAUCCUAUCCUUAUUAUUACUUAUUGUUUUGCUCCUGUUUCACUCUAUUUAUUCUCAGUCCUAGUUCCUACUUUACCAGAUUUCUCCAGACCCUCUCUCUCUCUCUCUCUCUCUCUCUCUCUCUGUCUCUCUCUCUGUCUCUCUCUCUCUCUCUCUCCUAUUGUAAUCUGACUCUUCUCGUCCUUUCCCAGGCUGCAGCUCCAUUAGGGUCCUGCAGCUUCAAAGUGUUUAGUUGGCCACUGCUUCCCCCAUACUGUCCUUUAUGGUGCAGUAAUAUCUCUAGUAGGUUCUAUAGACCUAUACCAUGAUGCUGUUCUCUAUGUAUUUGUUGAUACUAUUUAUUCUAAAUAGCCUGAGUUAAUUGUUUUUACCAUAUAGUAUAUAUCUUAUGCCUUAUCUGUAGGUGGUGAACCUAAUCGGGUCGACGUUUUCCUGCUCUCUAACUAUUCACCCAGACCGACCCCCAUCUUGGGGCGAUAUUGUGAAUUUACUUAUUUAUUUGUUUUGCCCGAUCAGCGCAGGCGCAAGCCCCCUCCGCUAAACACCCGACACCAGCAAAGUUCACAGUUUACCACACUUUUUUUAGCCCUCACAGAUGUACAUAUUUAAUUACAUUUAACAACCCCCCAAAAUUCAUGCAUGCAUGCAGUUCUAUUGAAUUCAAAAGCUCUUAGUAUUUCUGUGUUUUUAGGAGUUUUUAAAGAGAGACCUACGUGACGUCCCCUCCGCUGAGACAGAAUCCCUGAAGCAAUCUACACAAACAUUUCAAACUAUCGUAAGAACAAGCUUACCUGUUUAUAGUUGGGUGGCCACCCGUUUGUGAGAUUGUCCAGAGAAACCGUCACCAGCCAAGAACGACACUGUCCGAGGUCUCUUCGAUCUCCUGGCAAGCUCGCCAAAUAUGUCGUGGAAAAUUGUCUUAAGAAUAUAAUACUCUUGCAAGAACUUUGUGAAUUCAAUAUAGACUUUAAUACAGAGUUGCAAAGCCGAGCCGGUCGAUGGAUCAAC
rnacentral:lncRNA from 1 species